GAGUGACAUGACAGAGUGACUGUUUUAGAUUAAGGGGUCAGGGGUGACAUUCAACCAGCAACCUAAACAACAAAGGGGAAGCCAUGCAAAACUGAAGAGAAGCUGUCUAGGAAGACAGAAUCGCUGAUGCAAAGGUACAAAGGCAAGAAUCACCUUGGUGUCUUUAAAAAAAAGACAGGAAGAAGAUGUGGCUGGAGCACAGUAAGUGAAGAGUGGUACAUGAUGAAGUCUGAAAGGUAAACAGGAGUCAGAGCUCACCAAGAGUUCUCACAGGAAAAAUGGAGGACUGACUUCUACUUAGGCACAACAGAAGCAUCAUCAAAGCCAAAUUCUGAAAAAGGUGCUCUUUAUACAGCUUUGCCUGCCCUGCACACCAGAAUCUGGACUCCAAAAAUCAGCUGCCAUCGAGGCGAUUCCAACUCAUGGCUGCUAACCAAAAGAUUGGAGGAUCAAGUCCACCCAGAGGUAUCUUGAAAGAAAGGCCUGGUGAUCUACUUCUAAAAUAUCAGCCAUGAAAAACCCUAUAGAGCAGAGUUCUACUCUGACCCACAUGGCAUUACCUGAGUGCUCUAUAGUCAUAUAGACUUUCGCUAGCUUUAAAGGGUUUAUUAAAAGGUUCUCUCCUUUCGUCGGGUUUAGACUUCCUGCUUGAUUGGCAUCUCAUCUGAAACUAGAACCCCAAUUUACACAGAAUUGUGAAGUUGUUUGUGCAACACCACUGGCCAUCCAUCCAACAGCGGUAGCUUGGGAUGCUACUAUUUAAUGCACAGUGAACCACAGUAAUAUGAAACAGGAUGGCAUUUUGGUGCAUCAGUGUUGCUGGAACAUAGCAUGCAAGGUGGGGAGUGGCCAGUGAUAAAACUAGAAAGGUAGGGGCCAGUUCAUAGAAUGCUUGGACUUUAUCCUGUAGACCGUAAAUGUUAUUAAAGGGUUUUAAAAGG